AACGAACGCUGGCGUCAUGCCUAACACAUGCAAGUCGAACGAGAUCUUCGGGUCUAGUGGCGCACGGGUGCGUAACGCGUGGGAAUCUGCCCUUCGGUUCGGAAUAACAGUUGGAGACGACUGCUAAUACCAGAUGAUGACGAAAGCCAAAGAUUUAUCGCCAGAGGAUGAGCCCGCGUAGGAUUAGCUAGUUGGUGUGGUAAAGGCGCACCAAGGCGACGAUCCUUAGCUGGUCUGAGAGGAUGAUCAGCCACACUGGGACUGAGACACGGCCCAGACUCCUACGGGAGGCAGCAGUGGGGAAUAUUGGACAAUGGGCGAAAGCCUGAUCCAGCAAUGCCGCGUGAGUGAUGAAGGCCUUAGGGUUGUAAAGCUCUUUUACCCGGGAUGAUAAUGACAGUACCGGGAGAAUAAGCUCCGGCUAACUCCGUGCCAGCCGCCGCAGUAA
rnacentral:rRNA from 1 species